rnacentral:lncRNA from 1 species
UGGACUACGCCUGACGAUACCAGACUACCCGUUUGCGAAUGACGGUCUAAUAUUAUGGGAUGCAAUUAAAGAAUGGGUGACAGAAUAUGUGAACCACUAUUAUCCAGAUGCAGAACUGAUCAAGUCGGACGAGGAACUUCAAGGAUGGUGGAGCGAAGUGCAAAACGUAGGACAUGGAGACAAGAAAGAUGAACCUUGGUGGCCUGUCCUCGAGACACAAGAUGACUUAAUUAAUAUCGUCACGACGAUUGCGUGGGUCGCUUCAGGUCACCAUGCAGCUGUAAACUUUGGACAGUAUGGAUAUGGAGGAUACUUCCCUAACAGACCAACCACAACAAGGAUAAAAAUGCCGACAGAAGAACCAACAGAUGAAGAGCUAGAGGAGUUCUACGAGUCACCAGAAAAAGUAAUGCUUAAAACAUACCCAUCACAGAAGCAGGCGACUCUAGUGAUGGUCACUUUGGAUCUUUUAUCAACUCAUUCAGUUGAUGAAGAGUACAUUGGAGAGUAUCCGGAAUCAUCUUGGGCUGAUGAACCUAUGAUAAAUGCUGCUUUUGAACGUUUUAAAGGUAGGCUUCAAUAUCUAGAAGGAGUGAUAGAUGAGAGAAACGUGACACUUUCUCUAAAGAAUAGAGCUGGAGCUGGUGUGGUUAAGUAUGAG